UAUGUAUAAUUAAUGAAUGAAUGGUCCCUUAGCGGCAAUGGUGGGUGAGAAAAUUAACUGUAAAUAUGAAAUGCAGACUGCAAAAUCACAAAUAAGAACUUUUUCUGUGCAAAAACAUCAAACAAAUUAACUGCAUACAAAUAAAAACAACUUACCAAAACUAAAACGUUUAUCCUCUGCAUCGUUACAAUCUGUCGUAAAUCCGAUGUAGUGAUCUAUUCCUUGAUUUUUAAUUCUGGUAUCUGUUUUAGGGACUGACACCACAUCUCAAAUGGUGUAUCUGGGGCAGGCGGC